AGGCGAGGACGGGGAGGGAGCGCGCCGUGCAGGUGCUGUGCUGGGUGGUUGCCGCGGCCAUGCAUGGUUGCCUGGUUGGGGCGACGAGACGAGACGGCCUCGACGUGUGGUGGUGGCCUCCGACUCCGACGCGAGCCAGGGCCAGGGCGCCAGGCUACGUGGAGUUGAAGCCAGGGCCACAGGGAAGAGAAGAAAGCUCACGGGUUCCUCCUUGUUUUACAUUACUGGUAACGCACGAUACGGAUCUGCCACUCAUGUGGGUGGCAGUAAUGCGUGCUGCCAAAAAAGCAACAGGACACGCCAUCUGC
rnacentral:misc_RNA from 1 species